rnacentral:antisense_RNA from 1 species
AGUCAUAAUUGCUAUUCUCGCUUAAUAGUGAUUGUGAUGAGCAGGACGCCCGUGUUGCUGCACGGGCGUCUUGCGUU